CUGACAAAUAUCCUCUGAGUAAAACUAAGGAAGGACGUCAGCUAUCAUCAGGGGGACUUGUGUGCCCCAGAGCCUACAGGGUGCUCAGGGACUGCAAGAAGAUCUUCCUUCCAGAAACAUUCAGUGGCACCUCCCCUUCUCCGACACUCUGCCGGGCCAUGGAAUUGCAGAGAAGAACGGGAGGGGGCCCUUGCCCUGAAGAACUCACAGACUCAACGGCUCCUUUGAUGAAGUAAUCAAUGUCCAAGUUGCUUUGCCCAGGCCAGCAAGAUCUUGCCCAGGACAAGAUCAGAUCCCCUUUUGGAAGAUCAGCCCUGAGCUAACAUCUGCUGCCAAUCCUCCUGUUUUUGCUGAGGAAGACUGGCCCAGAGCUAACAUCCAUGCCCAUCUUCUUCUACUUUAUAUGUGGGAUGCCUGCCACAGCAUGGCUUGAAAAGUGGUGCCAUGUCCA
rnacentral:lncRNA from 1 species